rnacentral:rRNA from 1 species
GGCUCAGGAUGAACGCUGGCGGCGUGCUUAACACAUGCAAGUCGAACGAAGCUCUUGAACUGAGGAUUCGUCUGAAGUGAUGAGAUGACUUAGUGGCGGACGGGUGAGUAACGCGUGGGUAACCUGCCGUAUGCAGGGGGACAACAGUUGGAAACGACUGCUAAUACCGCAUAAGCGCACGGUAUUGCAUGAUACAGUGUGAAAAGAUUUAUCGGCAUACGAUGGACCCGCGUCUGAUUAGCUAGUUGGUGAGGUAACGGCCCACCAAGGCGACGAUCAGUAGCCGGCCUGAGAGGGUGAACGGCCACAUUGGGACUGAGACACGGCCCAAACUCCUACGGGAGGCAGCAGGUGGGGAAUAUUGCACAAUGGGGGAAACCCUGAUGCAGCCGACGCCGCGUGAGUGAAGAAGUAUCUCGGUAUGUAAAGCUCUAUCAGCAGGGAAGAAAAUGACGGUACCUGACUAAGAAGCCCCGGCUAACUACGUGCCAGCCGCAGC